GUCCGCCCGCCCUCGGCUCCGCCGCCGUGAUGCUGUCCCGGUCCCGCUGUGUAUCCCGGGCGUUCAGCCGCUCGCUCUCCGCCUUCCAGAAGCAUUAACAACAGUGUCUUCAGUGUUCGCUUUUUCAGAACUACAGCUGUAUGCAAGGAUGACUUGGUUACAGUCAAAACCCCAGCGUUUGCAGAAUCCGUCACAGAGGGAGAUGUCAGGUGGGAGAAAGCUGUUGGAGACACAGUUGCAGAAGAUGAAGUGGUUUGUGAGAUUGAAACUGACAAGACAUCUGUGCAGGUUCCAUCACCAGCAAAUGGCGUGAUUGAAGCUCUUUUGGUACCUGAUGGGGGAAAAGUCGAAGGAGGCACUCCACUUUUCACACUCAGGAAAACUGGUGCUGCUCCUGCUAAGGCCAAGCCGGCUGAAGCUCCUGCUGCUGCAGCCCCAAAAGCAGAACCUACAGCAGCGGCAGUUCCUCCCCCUGCAGCACCCAUACCCACUCAGAUGCCACUGGUGCCCUCGCCCUCACAACCUCCUUCUGGCAAACCUGUGUCUGCAGUAAAACCCACUGCUGCUCCUCCACUAGCUGAGCCAGGAGCUGGCAAAGGUCUGCGUUCAGAACAUCGGGAGAAAAUGAACAGGAUGCGGCAGCGCAUUGCUCAACGUCUGAAGGAGGCCCAGAAUACAUGUGCAAUGCUGACAACUUUUAAUGAGAUUGACAUGAGUAACAUACAGGAGAUGAGGGCUCGGCACAAAGAGGCUUUUUUGAAGAAACAUAACUUCAAACUAGGCUUCAUGUCGGCAUUUGUGAA
rnacentral:sRNA from 1 species